GCCGGGCGGUGCUCCUGCGGGCGCUGAUGGGGUGUGUUCCUGGGGCAGCGCCUCGGUGCAGUUGCUGGGUCACCCGCACGGUUGCGUUCUGCUCAAAGUUCACAAGUUUUACUGCACGCCCGAUAUUUUUAAGUUGCCCUUUGUGUUUCUUGAUGCGGAGGUACGGUUUGUUCUCAGGCGUAAAUUUUAUAACUUUAGCAGAAGCUUUUAGAGUAUUUGCAUUCGGUAUCAGUCACCGUGAACGUUUGUGGGAAGGACUGGCUGCAGAGAAACUUCUGAGAGCCGUUUGCCAGCAUUGUGGAUUCAUUCCUCUGUGGUCAUCAGAGGAUCGCAGAACGGUUUGCUUGGAGGGAACCUUACAGCCCACCCAGGUCCCGCUCCGUGCCGUGGGCAGGGCUUAUCCUCACCUGCUCGGGCUGCCCAUCCACCUCUGCCCUGAGCUCCUGCAGGGAUGGGACAUCCACAGCUCUCUGGGCAGCUGUGCCAGAGCCUCACUGCCCUCUGAGUAAAGGAUUUCCUCCUAACAUCUAACCUGAAUCUCUUCUUUUAGCUUAAAGCCGUUCCCCCUUGUCCUAUCAGCAUUAUACUGUGUAAAAAGUCAGUCCUCCUGUUUAUCAGCUCCCUUCAUGUACUGGAAGUCUUCUGGUGGUACUUAGUAGGAAACUGUGUUUAAGGUUGUUAAUAAAACACGCUUUUCACAUGGAACUGGGUUUAAUUUUACUUUAAUUACCCAAGCGUUGCAGUUGCUAGAGAUGGCAUGGAUUCCCACAACACAACUUUUGAACACAUGGAUGUUACUGUAACAAGGAGUUGCUCCUGAAGCUCAGCCUUGCCAUGCCACGUUGUUAAACCAGAUUAGCACAGUUUUUACAUUUAAUUUAUAAACCCCAGAAAGCUUUACUUGGACUAGAAUUCAUCAGCAGGCAGUGACACUGUGAUAAUAUUAGUAACAGCACUUGUAUAUUGUUUUAUAGGUGCCUCAGCCUGUUCAGUGCAUGCAUGGAGUGGGCGGGCACUGCAUAGCGUGGGACCAGGAGAUGCCAUCUCUGGUCCCAGUGGCAUGAAGGGAUCACUGCAGUUCGGCGGUGCAUGUUUUUAAAUGUUUAGGAACUACGUAUGGGGCAGAUGACCAACUGGACCAUAGCCUGUCCGUGAUUUGCAACUUCCAGUCUCCCUUUUAUAGUUGGGCUUUUCCUCCUUGUCCAGAAUGGCAAAUCACUUGAAGACUGUGGAGUCCCAGCUUUUGGUCAUAUUGGAGAGAGAUGCUGAUAUUCAGCUUUCUCCUUCUCAUACCAGCCAGGAGAAAACUGUGAAGUUGGGUGAUUCAUUGCUGAUAAUACCUAACACCCCCUGACUCUGUUAGCAAAGCUUAGAUGCAGAUGAAGUGGUCAUGGCUGUCAACAAUGAAGUUAUUUCAGAAAUUUGGAGAAAACAAUGGAGGGAGAUGAAUGUAUGUCUUCUUUCAGCAGUCUGUACUUACUCAGCCUAAAGAAUGUCACAUCAGCUGUGCAUUCUUCAUACGGUUAUUCUUUAAGACUAGCCAUGGACUGUAGUUGAUAUGGUUGCCCAUUUAAUACAUAAUGGAAACAACGUUUUGUGCUGAACAAUCUCCACUUGCCAGAUGGAAUGUGCUGCAUGAUGUCCUAAAGAGGUUGAUUCCUGGAGAGACUGAUGUUUCUGCUGAGACUGACGAGAUAUCGGGGCUAAUGGACUUAUCAGCCACAAGAUGAGUGCCACAGAAGAAUCUUGGAAUUCUCUUGGAGUUUCUGAUGAAAUGUUUGUUCCCCAUUGUGUUUGCACUACCCAAAUUUAUUGACUUUCAGUUCAUAUCUUGAUACUGUACUUGUUUUCCCAAACCCUUAAAAGUGAUGAUACCUGUGUGCAUGCAUUUGCCCAAAUGAACAGUAGAGACUUGUUAAAAACCGACUGCUGUGGAAAACUGGUCUUUUAAUACAAUCAAAAACAUAUUCUAUAACUGCUUAAUACUCACUUUUGUUUAAUAGAAACAUCCUCUAAUCCACUGGAAGAUACGGACCUAGAAAACUGAGAAAUAAAUACAAACCAGGGACUAUCAAAUAUUUUACCUUCUGAAUACUCUGUUCUUCUAGCUCAUUGUCCUAAAUUAUCUUUUUUUCUCUAGCAGAGCAACAUGACAUCUCACUUGCAUUCUGAAUUUUUAGAAAUACAAACAUUUUUCAGGAUAUUUUUAAUAAGCUGUUAGUAAAAUGCUCUUCCUGAUUUCUUGCAGACUCCUUUGGAAAGUUAAGGUUCCAUAAAACCCUCGAGGAGUCAUUUAAAAGAAAAUUUAAUGAUGUUUUUGCUUCAGAGCUUAUGAAAGAAAAAUUUCUUUGGGAGGGAGGGAGAAGGGGAAGGGAAAUUGAACUUUUCAAAUCAAUCUCCUGCAAUGAGGAAGGCCAGCUCAUGAAUAAAACUUGUUAAAAACAAAGUUUCUAAGUAAAGGAAAAGGCAAACUGUAAUUGAGAGCUACUAUUCAAGGAAGCUCUUGAGGCCAACAUCAGCAAAGCUUUUGGUUCACUACCGCAGUCCAGGCAAAGCAGCACUGCUGUAAAAUAACUGAGGCAGAAAAAGGCUACAAUUUACCUCCUUUAUGGUUGCUAGGUAAGAACACACACAAUAGCCAGUUCUGAGUUGCUUGACAGUUUUUUGGGGAGAUGAUGCCCCACAGGACAUUGCCCUUACCUUUAUUUAAACCCAUGGAAAUCUCUUACUAGAGAAUAUUCACAUGGAGGAUCUGCUGGCGUUGCCUUCAGAGAGAAAGAUAAAUGUUAGCACUUCAAUCUCAGAAUUUAAGACAAGAUCUUUGGCCUUUUCUCCCCAUAAAUGCCAUUCACUUAGUGUAUUUUAAAAGCUUUAUCCUAGUCUUACAUGUAUACCUGAAGCUACAAUUCAAAAUCAAUACCUUCUCUUUAAAAUUUAUUUGAUGCAUUACUGUACUGGCAAGAAUUUCCAAUGGCAACACUGGGAAAUUAGAGAUUAGUUCAUAAGUAAAUACCUGAGGUCCAGCCUCAGAAAGAUACCCUCGUUUAAAAAGAACAACUUCAUUAUUUUUGCUUUUAUAUAUGAUAACUGAAUGAGAAUAGUUUUCCUCAUGAUUAGAAAAAAUGUGACUGGUAUUAUUUUCUUUCUUUCAGUGGCAGUUUCUGGGCUGUUAACAAAUUUGGGGAAAAUGCUUGUCUAAUCAGGCCACAUAAGACCAAAUGCAUCCUCCAUCUUGGUCCCCUGGGUCAUACGGAGCUCUUCACUGCAUUGUUCCUCCUGGUGCUUAAUCUGACCUGCUAUGGAAGAGAAGCUGCUUUAAUCAUGUUUGCUUGCUACACAAAUUUGUCUGGCAAACUGAUUUUGCUAUACUUUUCUUUACGCUAGAAAUCUUAACAAAACACUUUCUCAACUGAUGGCUUUUUUCUCCCAACAAUUUGGGUCUAGCUGCUCGUUUAACAAAUAGCAGUGUUGCUCUUUUCUUUUAGCACACUCUAAUAAACCAAGAGUAAAUUACUGGCUGACCUACUUACCGGGAUUGCUUAAAUAAUCCUCAAUAUGGCAGUAUAAUUUGAUGCCUUAAAAUACAGGGCAUACAAGUUGCAAGUUAAACAAAGAAAUAUUGAAUGUUAAUGAAAACACAAUUGGGUAAUAUAAUUGCCUAAGGGAUAUUAUGUUUCAUAUCUAAUAUUCCCCUCCCCUUUUUUUUCCUUAUCUGCUGCAUUUUGUUCUUUUGUCUGGUAGAUGAGCUAGUUACCCAAUCUCUGAAUGAUCUGGGCACAUCUGAUCUGCAGCUAAAAUAAGUUUACAAAAGAUGUGGUUGUGUUUCUAUCUUUAAUAGGCAGUAUGUUUUAAAGGAAGGGCCAAAUGCAUGGUUGCAUUACCCCAUUUUUUGCUUUGUGCAUUUGUAGUCAUCUCUAUGCAAUUCCCUGCAAUGUCCCUUUUUAAAAAGAAGAAAAAUAGCUGGGGAACAGGGGAAUAUAUAAAAAUACUUACUACAUGCAUUCUACAUUAUCAGCAUUUCAUAUUACAGACUCACAUUAUAGAGCUGAACCUAAAUUUCUCCAGAUCUCAAAUGACAUACAUCUACUUUCAUGUUUGUCCAUCUGGGACAACUGUUUUAUAGCAAUAAGUAAAAUAUGAGAGAGAUGCUAUCCUGUCAUAAUUCUCUGCUUAUUUUUCUUUCCAGUUGCUCCCUCAUCCCUGUUACAUUGACCUGAAUCCCCUUACUGUAAAACAUUAGCAUGUAGUGCACUCUACUGUUUGCCUAUCUUAACAGUUACCAAAUAACUCUAAGCUUCAAAUAAGACGUACUUAGAGUUGCAGCUCAAAUCUUGGCAAGGAUGGCUCUACUUUUCAUUUUUCCUGUGUGGUCACACCAGACUCCAAGUGGUCUCUAACUGAGAGAUAGAUUUUGACCUGAAGCUCCUGAGCAUGGCUGAAUUUAGAGAUGCUAAACAUUACUGGUCAUCAAUAUGAAUAA